rnacentral:rRNA from 1 species
GAUGAACGCUGGCGGCGUGCUUAACACAUGCAAGUCGAACGGAAAGGCCCAAGCUUGCUUGGGUGCUCGAGUGGCGAACGGGUGAGUAACACGUGGGUGAUCUGCCCUGCACUUUGGGAUAAGCCUGGGAAACUGGGUCUAAUACCGGAUAGGACCAUCGUUUAGUGUCGGUGGUGGAAAGUUUUUCGGUGUGGGAUGAGCUCGCGGCCUAUCAGCUUGUUGGUGGGGUAAUGGCCUACCAAGGCGUCGACGGGUAGCCGGCCUGAGAGGGUGUACGGCCACAUUGGGACUGAGAUACGGCCCAGACUCCUACGGGAGGCAGCAGUGGGGAAGAUUGCACAAUGGGCGCAAGCCUGAUGCAGCGACGCCGCGUGGGGGAUGACGGCCUUCGGGUUGUAAACUCAUUUCGCCAAGGACGAAGCGUUUUGUGACGGUACUUGGAGAAGAAGCACCGGCUAACUACGUG